UACGGAGGGUGCAAGCGUUAUCCGGAUUCACUGGGUUUAAAGGGUGCGUAGGCGGGCAGGUAAGUCCGUGGUGAAAUCUCUGAGCUUAACUCAGAAACUGCCAUGGAUACUAUUUGUCUUGAAUGUUGUGGAGGUAAGCGGAAUAUGUCAUGUAGCGGUGAAAUGCUUAGAUAUGACAUAGAACACCAAUUGCGAAGGCAGCUUACUACACAAAAUAUUUGACGCUGAGGCACGAAAAGCGUGGGGGAUCAAAACAGG
rnacentral:rRNA from 1 species